UCACAUUACUGGAAUAUUCUAGAAGGCUGUGCCCCAGUGCAAAAGCAAAUGGCGCUGUAAAAGUAAUUCAAGUGCAAUUUUUCAGUGAAAAGUGUUUUAUAAAUGUAAAAUUUAGUGGCAUAUUAAGCUACGAGGACUUGGAAAAUAGUGUACGCAGUCAACUAACCGAAGAGGAUGGAUUCGAAAAAUUUUAGAUUCAGAGGGAGUUAGAAUCUUGCCGGCAGCAUUUCAAGAAGUCAAAACUCCGUAUUAUAUCAAACGUCACGAGGAAGAUGCGUCUGGAACCGCUGCCAGUGAAAACAUUCUCGUGGAAAAUCCAAAUGUGAUGCCUACUCUUAUUGCGAAGGAACAAAUUUAUUUUUUUGGAGCUUUACAAGUACUUUGGAGUUCAAAGAAUUGUUCUAAUCAACGGUGCUGAGCUUUUGAGAAAAACAAGUUCACGAGAAAGAAAGAUGGCAAUUUAAAUAAUUGCUAACCAUCUUCUUCUUUAGCAGCCUCAACCCAACAAAGAUGACAAAAUUGCCUACGCAAAGGCAACCAUGGAACUUUUUGUUGUUAUUUAGGUUCAAAUAUUUAUUGUUACUAAGGUAAUUGUAAAUUUAAAUUUAAUUUAGUGAAUAAAACGAUUAUAAUGAAAAAUUGAAUUUUAUUUCCUAAGUGUAUAUAAAUAUUGGUUCAAAGUAAUGCUAAAUUUGUGUACACUUUGAGUACAAAAUCACUAACAUAUU